GAUGAAGAACGUAGCGAAAUGCGAUACUUGGUGUGAAUUGCAGAAUCCCGUGAACCAUCGAGUCUUUGAACGCAAGUUGCGCCCGAAGCCAUCAGGUUGAGGGCACGUCUGCCUGGGCGUCAUAUAUCGUUGCCCAAUGCCUAUUGCAGUGCAAUAGGAAUUUCUAGGGCGAAUGAUGGCUUCCCGUGAGCGUUGUUGCCUCGCGGUUGGUUGAAAAUCGAGUCCUUGGUAGGGUGUGCCAUGGUAGAUGGUGGUCGAGUUAGAACGAUACCGAUCAUGUGCAUGCUCCCCAAAAUAUGGCCUCUAUGACCCACACGCGUCUUUUGACGCUCAUGACGAGACCUCAGGUCAGGCGGGGCUACCCGCUGAAUUUAAGCAUAUCAAUAAGCGGAGGA
rnacentral:misc_RNA from 1 species